CUCGCAAGAGUGAACGAGCUAACUGAAAGAAUAUAUAAUCUAAAGUUAGGAAUCUUAUAAUUUUUAUUAUAAGUUUAAAGACGAAUCUAACUAACAGUGUCGUCCAAAUUCUGGUGCCAGAAGACUCGGUAAUACCAGAGACGCGAACGUUAAUCAUCUUGAAUGGGCAUAAAGGGUUUGUAGGCGGCUUAUUUAUUAAUAGGCUAGAAUCUUAGAGAGGUUAAUAAAAUACUUAGAGGAGGGCUGAUAUCCUUAGAUCCUAAGUGGAAUCCUAAUUGCGAAGGCCAUUUUCCACUACAGAUUGACGCUGAGACACGAAGGUUAGGAUAGGAACUAGGAUUAGAGACCCUAUUACCCCUAACUGUAAACGAUGAAUGGCAGAUAUUUACAACUGUAAGUGUCGAAGUGAAUACGAUAACCAUUCCGCCUUGCCAGUAUACUUGCAAAAGUGAAAACAAAAAAAUUAGUCGGUCCUAAAGCAAACG
rnacentral:rRNA from 1 species